rnacentral:rRNA from 1 species
UACGUAGGGGGCAAGCGUUGUCCGGAAUCAUUGGGCGUAAAGCGCGUGUAGGCGGCCCGAUAAGUCCGCUGUGAAAGUCCAGGGCUCAACCCUGGGAUGCCGGUGGAUACUGUCGGGCUCGAGUCCGGAAGAGGCGAGUGGAAUUCCUGGUGUAGCGGUGAAAUGCGCAGAUAUCGGGAGGAACACCGGUGGCGAAGGCGGCUUGCUGGGCCAGUUCUGACGCUGAGGAGCGAAAGCGUGGGGAGCGAACAGG